UAAAAACUGGAGAGAGAAAGAGAAACUGAAAAAGGAAGAGAAGUAUCGACACUGGGUUAAUUCGCAUGCUUUCCUCCAUCGCCGAUCACCACCGCCGUAACCGUUACCAUUGCCGACAGUCGCCGUCCAUCAUCCUACUCCUUGGAUCUCAUUUCCAUCCGAUCCACCUCAGAUCCGCCCGUUACUGUUCUUGUUACAACAUCACACCUCCGCCGCUUGUACCGCCGCCGUUCUUGCAUGUAGACGCACAAGAUCGCCGCUUUCGGUUUUUCUUUCACUUAAAAGUGUCUUAUACUCCAUCAAGAAACAGAAAAAGAAUUGAGUUAUCCAUAAUCAAUAUCGAAAACAUGAAAUCCACUUCAGGUUCAAGCAGAGGCCUCCUCUACCUUGGAAAGCAAUCAAUUACUUAGUCAGCAUAUUUCUCAUCAUUUUGCUUAUUGGUUAUAUAUAGCCAUAAAACGAGUUAGCCUGAUUCUAUCAAUACCGUUAUAAUCCUCUUAAAAGGAGAGAGGUUUGCAAGGAAGGAAGAGAAUGUGGCAAGAAAUCAGCCCAAUUACAAGCCUCCACCAAGGCUUCUUCAGUAUGAAAUCUCACUCUAAUCAUCCUAAUCGAAGAAAUGAAGUGCCGUCUGCAAAUGCUGCUGCAAGUCAAGCUGCAAAGAGGCCCUCUUCUUUUGGUGGCCCUGCUCAUGAUGAAAAGGUGUCAUUUAAUUCUUGCAAGUUACAUGGUAUACGAGGUUGAAUGCUCAGAUCAUUUGAAACAAAAGCUGGCUGAAAGCAUGAUUGCUCAUAAGGAAGAGAUCUUUUCCCACCCCAAAAGAAUCUGGUUUGUAGCAGAGACAGAAAAGAAGGUUGCUGCAAAAGCAGCAAAGGCAUUUAUUGCAAGGCGAAGUUGUGGAACAUGCGGCAGGCCGGAAUGAUCCCUCAAAGUGCUAGUUCCUGGUUGGGUUCCUAUGAAGAUGGUGUUGAGUAUUAUGUGUGCCUCAACGGCCACAUGCUUGGGACAUGCACUUUGUUACCAUUGUCUGAUUCAGAAGAUGUAUCCGCAUCAGAGGAGGAAUAGUUAACUGAUUCUUAGAUUGGCAGCAAGUCCUGACAAAAAGGUUGAACUUCUGUGUCAGAUUUCUCUUCAAGUGCGCCAUUACCAUUUAGCUUUGAGCUUUAGGUUGUGGUGUAUCAAAUCAUGCCAGCAUUUCCGAGGAAGGAUCAUGAUGCUGCUAACCAACAUUUCUCAUGAAUUUUGGCAUGAAUGGUUGUUAGUCAUUACUGCUAACUAUGUGAUAUACCAUGUAUCAAGUGAGACUUGUACCAUAUCCAGUCACCAAUAGAGGUGAUUAAAUGAGCAGCUCCUAUCACCUGCAAAGAGAGCUGGUUAAAAGCUGAAGAGCCGAAUUAUAGCAGAGCAAUCCAUACAUAAAUGGUCUCAUAUAAUUGAGCGAUUGAGAACUUUGCUUCAUUCUCUUUGCUGUAUUAUUGUAUUGCAUCUGAGUUGGGCUCUAUUUGUUUUCUUUUGAUCAUUAUCUUUGUGCUAAUCAUUGAUGUAACAUAGAUUUAUAGUGUUUGUGUGGUUUGAAUUUGUAUUAUGCUUUAUUACAUUUCAAGAGAAUUUUGUGUAUAAAUAUUUAAGUAUAUUGAAUUUAAUGAAAUUCUUCAUUUUGUAGUAA